GAGAGGAUCAUCCCUUGGAGGGCUGACAGCUGUUAACUGUCAUUUUGUGGGAUCAAAACUCACUGGUCCAG
rnacentral:tRNA from 1 species